AUGGGGUUUAGGGACCUUCACAGUUUUAACCUUGCUUUAUUAGCAAAACAGUGUUGGUGUCUGCUCCAGAACCCAGACUAUUUGUGUGCACGUGUUCUCAGUGCGAAAUACUAUCCAAAUGGUGAUAUUCUAGGCGCAGGCCCAAAGAAAGGAUCAUCAUAUACUUGGCAGAGUAUUGUCUGAGGUAUCGAAACCUUUAAAAGGGGCUGCAUAUGGCGUGUUGGUACGGGAGAAAAUAUUGACAUUUGGCGGGAUCCAUGGAUCCCAACAAGCAAGAACAGGAGAGUUACUACACCCAGGGGAGCUACGCUUCUUGGUAAAGUUGUGGAACUUAUUGACCCACAUACAGGCCAGUGGGACGUUCCUCUUAUUACCUCUGUUUUUUCCACGGUUGAUGUUCAUAGAAUACUAAAUAUAACACUUCGGGUGGAGUUGCUGGAUGACUUUGUGGCAUGGAGUGCAACUAGAUCGGGGACCUUCUCUGUAAAAUCAGCUUAUCAUAUUGAAUUCCAACACCAGUUUGGAAAGCACUGGAAUCGGCAGGAUGGUCAAGGAUGCAUGUAUAUUAACCCUAUCUGGAAAUCGGCUUGGCACCUAUAUGUACCUGGGAAGGUAAAACAUUUUGUCUGGAAAGUAUUGAAAGGUGUUUUGCCCUGUUUUGGUGUUCUAGCAUCGCGACACAUUCCAACGAGUGCUCAGUGCCCCAUCCGCAAAAUAGGGAUGGAAGAUAUCCAACACUGUUUAUUUACCUGCUCUCGAGCAAAGGAAAUCUGGUUCGAGUUAGGAUUGACAGAGGAAAUUAACAGAGCAGUGACCCAAGACCGGUCAGGUUCCAUGACUAUGGAAAUUUUGGGUAGAACUGGUGGCUCAUUGGGCGAUUUGCCAAAGCCAGAGCUAAUUGCGAUAGCAGCAUGGUACAUUUGGUGGCAACGGCGGCGGAUCGUGAGAGGAGAAUCAGUACAAACGCCGGAUAGGUCCGCGCUCUCUAUCAAGGUUCUGUGUACCAACUUCGUCAGAUCAUCAACGCCAAAAUAUCCCACUAGGAAACGAGAUCACAUGUGGAAGAAACCGAUCCGGGGUUCGGUGAAGGUCAAUGUUGAUGCUUCAUUCUGCGCUCAAGCAAUGGCUGGAGCUACAGGAGCUGUUGCCUGGGACGACAAAGGCGAUUUUAUAGCAGCAGCCACUUGGUUUUUGCCUCACGUGUGUGCAGCUGACUCAGCAGAGAUUCAGGAUAUAAGAAACGGCUUCUGGCUAGCACAGAGAUUGGGUGUACCUCUUCGAUAA
rnacentral:rRNA from 1 species